UAAUCGAAAAUCCGUUGUAGUGUAGUUGGUUAGGAUAUUUGGUUCUCACCCAAAAAGACCUGGGUUCAAGUCCCAGUGAUGGAAA
rnacentral:tRNA from 1 species